GUAGGUGCCAACCGCGGAGAUGAAAUGUGAGCCUCGGUGGCCGAGGACUUCGGAUCCGCCGCUUAGCCCGCCUCAGGAGCCGCGGGGACAGACAAAGAGACCUUGGCCCCAGCGCAGUCCCGCGCGACGGUCGGGCUCGCCUCCGAGACUCCCAGGGCCAUGGCCAGGUCUCCGCGCCACCCCGCUCUCCGGAGCGUCGCCCUCUCCAUCUGACCGCCCUCCAGCGCCCCCGUCCCCUCCCGGUUCCGGGCUGUCCCUCGACUUCGAGCCCUUUCUACACACCGGUCUGUCCGUCUCUCUGUCGGUUUGUCCUGGCGCGCAACCUCCGGCCACUGGCUUGGAUGGACGCGCGGAGGCUGCCCGGGUGUCCAGGGGUCUUGCUUCCGAAGUUGGUGCUGCUCUUUGUCUACGCAGAGGAUUGCCUUGCUCAGUGUGGCAAAGACUGCAAAUCUUACUGCUGUGAUGGAACCACACCCUACUGUUGCUCCUACUAUGCCUAUAUUGGGAAUAUUCUCUCAGGGUGACGAUUAGAAACCUCACUGUGUUAGAAAAUGAGAAUUGGGGAAAUUUAUGAUGCAUAGAAUGUCUCAUCAAACUGAUUCUCCAGCAUUUCAUCCAGCCACUUCUCUCCAUGGAAAAUAAACAGUCUGUGAUGAAUAUGGAAAUAAACAGUCUGUGAUGAUGAACUUUGAUUGACAUUCCCUAGAGAUAGGAUCCAACAUAACGGUGUGGUUUGUAGAGUAGUCUUUAGAAUUGGUAGAAUUUAAGGCAUUAGAGGGGGCAGUUGAGCAGCUAAUUAUGGUUAGUAAUGGAAUAGACUAAAGCAGGACUUUACUGAAAAUGAAGAAAACUGCCAUAUGAACAAGAAUAAUUGUACAAUAUUGAACAUGAACCAAAUAAUAACUGAAAUGGAUAUAGUUAGCCAGAUGACAAAAUCUAAGAUUGAAUCCCCUCACUCAGUAAUAGACUUUUGCUUUUCUAGUCUGCUUUUAUAAAAUGCAGAUCUGCCUAAGGAUUCUUCAGUGCACCAUCUGGCCAACACAAAAAUCCCCAUGAGGAAAAAAAAUCAGGGGAAGAAUUAAUAAAGGCGAUCCUGGUGGGAUUAAGUUUCUUUUCUUCUCAAUGAAACGUGAAAGAUGUAUUGCUCAGAGUUUUGCGAAGACAGCUAAUAAAUAUCACAACUGUGGUUUUAGAGCCACGUUAUGCAUGAAAGCAAAACUGAGUUAAAAGAUAAGAAUUUCAUAUUUCCAAAUGGCAUUUGAGGCCCUAUGCUCAUUAAGUAGUCGAGCAUCCUGAAUAAAACACGUGAGGCUGUUCAAAUAAGGACAGCAUUUUAACACAGCUUGAAAGGCCUUUGGCUUUGGUGAAAAUAGACUGGCCAAUGGGGAAAUGCUCUAUAGCACAGGGAACUCUACCCAAUAUUCUGAUAAUUGGUGAUAAUUGGUAACACUGGUGAUAACCUGCAUGGGAAAAGAAUCUGAAAAAGCAUGUGUGUGGGAGCUCCUGGUUGUAGCACAGCG
rnacentral:lncRNA from 1 species